AGUGAACGCUGGCGGUAGGCCUAACACAUGCAAGUCGAACGGCAGCACAGUAAGAGCUUGCUCUUACGGGUGGCGAGUGGCGGACGGGUGAGGAAUACAUCGGAAUCUACUUUUUCGUGGGGGAUAACGUAGGGAAACUUACGCUAAUACCGCAUACGACCUACGGGUGAAAGCAGGGGAUCUUCGGACCUUGCGCGAUUGAAUGAGCCGAUGUCGGAUUAGCUAGUUGGCGGGGUAAAGGCCCACCAAGGCGACGAUCCGUAGCUGGUCUGAGAGGAUGAUCAGCCACACUGGAACUGAGACACGGUACAGACUCCUACGGGAGGCAGCAGUGGGGAAUAUUGGACAAUGGGCGCGAGCCUGAUCCAGCCAUACCGCGUGGGUGAAGAAGGCCUUCGGGUUGUAAAGCCCUUUUGUUGGGAAAGAAAAGCAGCAGGUUAAUAACCCGCUGUUAUGACGGUACCCAAAGAAUAAGCACCGGCUAACUUCGUG
rnacentral:rRNA from 1 species